GGCAAUACCCGAAGUCCGUGAGGUAACCGCAAGGAGCCAGCGGCCGAAGGUAGGGUCAGCGAUUGGGGUGAAGUCGUAACAAGGUAGCCGUAGGUGAACCUGCAGAAGGAUCA
rnacentral:rRNA from 1 species